rnacentral:RNase_P_RNA from 1 species
UCUACGUAUCAGACAGCCGCUGUAAAUACCAAGAAAUUGGAGUUUAUAGAGGAAAGUCCGAACACCGGCCAGGCGCAAGUCUGGCAGAAGGGUAGCGGGUAAUACCCGUCCGGAGCGAUCCGCGAGGUGCGAACAGAGACGAGUCCACUCACUAUCAAGUGGGUGGGGUGAAACGGCAAAAUCCUUACUUAGGUGCAAGGCCGUGCCCGUCGCUAUAGAGAUAUGGCGACGGGAGUGCCGCUUGAGGAGUGGGGUAACCCACUUCCCAGAUAAAUGGCUGUCGUUUGCUCUUUACCGGGCAGAUACAGAAUUCGGCUUAUCGAUACGUUAUAUCA